rnacentral:rRNA from 1 species
UACAGAGGGGGCAAGCGUUGUUCGGAAUUACUGGGCGUAAAGGGCGCGUAGGCGGCCUGCUAAGUCGAACGUGAAAUCCCUGGGCUCAACCCAGGAACUGCGUCCGAUACUGGUUGGCUUGAAUCCGGGAGAGGGAUGUGGAAUUCCAGGUGUAGCGGUGAAAUGCGUAGAUAUCUGGAGGAACACCGGUGGCGAAGGCGGCUUUCUGGACAGUAACUGACGCUGAGGCGCGAAAGCUAGGGGAGCAAACAGGAUUGAGAAAC